GUGUCGAGUGGAUUGGUCGUGCUAUCACACGGCCCGACUUGCGAUAUCUUGAAUCGAUAUGAAAUCAAUUUGCUCAGUAUCUCCUGAGAGAAUGGUGGUUGGAUUUUGAAGCUGAGGCCAUCAUUCUAUUGAUGGCAAGCUCCCUGGAGUUUGUCGAUUUCGACGUUCCAGUUCCUGAACCUUUCUUUGGAGUUCAUCUUCUUAUCAGAAGUGGUGCCAGUGUAGGCUUGAGGUGGAGUCCUUCU
rnacentral:lncRNA from 1 species